GAGGGGUCUUGACAAAGUUAAGUUACUGAAAAUAUUCUUCGAACCACCCCUCUUUUCUUCCUUGCAAAAUGUAAAAAUAAUUAUGAAUGGGGUUUAUUAUUUUCCACUUUACAACUAUUUGUGGAGAGAUUUAAGUUGUAUCUUUAUCUCAAAAUAUGGUACACCUUUCUUUUUAUAAUAAAUAGGUACCAGAAACUAUCACUUGGCACAAGAUAUACUGUAGAUUGGCAAAUAAUCACGAGGGUUUUAAUUUCACUAUGUUCGCGAUUUAUCAUUUUCCCGCAAAAUUAAACCCAUUGUGAAUACUACCAUUGGUUUCGCAAAACGGUUUAAUGCUUAUAUUCUUAUCAAUUGAUUUUCUAGGACCGUGAAAUUAAAAUCAUCGCGAUUGAUACUUAAUCAGAAAUCGUGAAAUUUUAACAGCGUGGAAUUAAAACGUCUUACGGUAUUUGUUUCUGUCACAGGUUUAAAAAAACUAAACAAUUUUUUUAUUCAUUUCAUCAUCAAUAUUUUUACAAUCUACAGCUGGCGGCAAUACUUUCCAUCUUGAAUUAUUUUUUGUCAACAAUAACAAAAUCAUUAACACAAAAUGACUGUGUGUACGAUUUGCUUUUUAACAAAUGUUAACUUGCUUGUUUUUAUGUACAAAUAAACUAGUUUUUUUAACUAAAAGUAAU
rnacentral:sRNA from 1 species